rnacentral:lncRNA from 1 species
UUUGGUCAACCGAGUUGACUAUGGCCGAUCCCUUUCCAUUGGGAAGAGAAAGCUUUACUGGAUAUCCAAAGUCAUCAUUGUCAAUGUCCAUAAAAUUUUAGGAAGUUGAUCUUAGAAAAUAGAUAAGAUCAUUAAGGUUCUUGUCAUAGUCUAUUUCAUAGGUGUCCUAAAGGAACUCACUAUGUGACUUAGAAAGUGAUUGAACCACCAACUUUCUCAAGACUUUGACACCCAACUCUCCCGGCUUGUCAAUAUGUGACUACAUCUCCAAGAUGUGACCACACCUAGACCUUGCCUUGCUAAUAGGGCCUGAGUGACCUUAAACUUUUCAAGAACUUGUGGGUUAGGGAGAAUAAUUUGAAGAGGUGAAGAAGUAUGAUAUCCAUGGGACAUCAUCUUCAUUAGGAAACCUUGUUUCAAGAGAUUUGGGAAGAUCAUAGGUGUCUAAACCAGACAUCUUUUGGGAGAUAUUCAAGAUAGUUGAUUUAAAGUCCUUAAUAUGACACCCAAUAUGAAAUAUUAAGGCUAGGACCCAACAAACUAUUUUAUAACUUAGAAGAGGUAUGCCGUAAUCCAAGCUAUAAAAUAUUUGAAGGUAGGUGAAUGACGAUUCACCAAUUUCCACCAAGAUAAACGAAAUGUAUUAUUAGGUUUUAAUUGGUUUUGAAACUCCUAGAUCUUUGAGAUUCAUUGAACUUUUCAAAGGCAUGUUUCAAUCUCGAGUGUGCCCUUCAGGUUUUGUGACUGGGAUGCCGAGGAUCACAAAACAAGGUGUGAAGUAACCAUGCAAAUCACUUGGUACCCUUAAUAAAUUACCCCUCAAUCGAUGUGCCGGUUAACCACACACGCUCCAUCGAUACUAUGAUAAAUAUUAAGUCACCCUUUACCUACCUUGUUAAGUCCAAGUUAGUGUGCCGGUUAACCACACACGCUCCACUAACGACUUAGACAAAGUGUAAAGUGUAAUUUCAUGGAUUAGCACCUUAUUCACAUUUUUCCUAAGUAACUAAGAUUGGGUAUUAUUAAGAGUUUAGUUACUUAGUAUUAUCAUUAAUACUUUUAAUGAAGGGAGAAUUCUAGUCCUGUCAAACCCGUUCGGCUAACGACCCUCCACCAGUCAAGCAAGCGGUGGGUGAGAGUGGACACCCAUUAAGUUGCCAUUUUAUAGGCAACAACCUUAUACCCACCUUAUAGACCGGCUUCGUGAAUGAGGCGUACUAGCGGUAAGACUGACUUUACUCUUAUACAUAUAUAUAUUAUUAACUUAUAAUAUUAUAAAGUAUAAGGGUUGAAUUUUAACUUUUAAAAUUCUAAGGGCUAACUUGGAAUUAAAGUAUUCAUAAGUGAAAACUUUUCAAAUUCCAAAACUUGAGGGCAAGUUUUGAAACUAUUCAAAACUAAUUAAUUCCAUAACUUAUGUGUUUAAAGUAGUUUUAAUCCAAAAACUCUUCAAGUUCCAUAACUUGAGGAAAGGUUAUGGAAGACUUUAAACUAAUAAAAGAAUUGACUUAUCUUUAUUUUAUAACUUAUGGAAUUAAUUAAGGUUACAUUUUUUUUUUAUUAUUUAAUGAAAUGACUCUUAAGAGACUCUUGGUCCUCCAUAACUUGAGGACAAGUUAUGGAGUCAUAAAACCAUUUAAUUAGAACUAGACUCUUCAUUUUUGUAACCUUUGCCAAUUUUUAUGAGUUUUAUGAUUCUUAAAUGUGACUUUUCAUAUAACUUGAGGACAAGUUACAAAAACACAUUUUAGAAUCAAUUCUUAGAUUAAUUUGGAUUAAAACCAACUNUUUCUAUUAAUCUAAGCAACUCAUAAGAACAAGAUAAUUCAAAUCAAACUUUUUCAUGUAAUUAGCCUAAUCACUAAACUAAUUCAAAACAUGAAUCUAUUGACAAUUAUCUUUGAAAUUGGAUUAGCAUGAACAUUACCACAUCAAAAACAAGUUUAUAAGUUCAAAAACAACUUAGGGUAAUGUUCCUAGUCCAUUUCUAGCCAAAAACCUCGAAAAUAUGCUGUUUGGGGCUCCUACUCGUCGAGUACGUGAACCUACUCGACGAGUAGUAUGAUUUUACUCAUGGACUCGGCGAGUUCAUCAGUGGACUCAGCAAGUCCAAUGACCAGAAAGCCAGAAAAUCGAGUUUUUCAGCAUUUUUCAGCAAUUUGCAUCAAGUAUAAUAGAAAACAAGCCUAGGCUCUGAUACCACUGUUGGGUUUUGAGCAUUCUAACACUCCUAAGUGUACAUGCAACCCUAAAUACCUUGGAUCUAUGUUUUCUCUAUUAUACAUGCAAAUAUGAACAUCUAAGGUAUUAUCCCAAUCUAAGCUAUAAAACAAAUGAAUAUAACAAGAUAGAAUAUAUACCUCUUUGAUGUAGAUUAUCUUGAUAAAGCUUGAGUGCCUAGUGCCCCAAGUGUCACACCUCAAAUGCUUCACACAACAUCAAUUGCUUUUGGAAUAACCUAGAGAGAAAUGUAGAACACUCCUUGAAAUCGUUUAGCCCUCAAACUCACACAUAGUGCCCGAUUUCUUGAGCCAUGGGAUUCUUUUAUAUGGUGGCUAUUAGGUUACACCAUGUAACUCAUGACUUUACCCAUUCCUUAUGCUCCAUGGAUUUUAACCUCCAUGGAGUAUCCAUGGGUCACCUCAUGGACUUAGUCCAACAUAAGGAAUCUUGGAUCAUAAGCCCACAUAUAUAAGAAUGAAUGAUUUACACAAUCAACCCAUAUAUUUAAUUAGUCUCCUUUUGAUCACUUAAUUAAUUCCAAAUUAAUUCUUGAUCAAUACUAAUUAAAUAACCUUAUUAAUAUAUUAUAACUUAUAAUAUAUUAACAAACCUUAAGUGUUAUCUCUCUCAUUAUAGUCUAUCCAAAUGCAUGAUGCCAUGCAACCUAAAUGGACCAUGUCGGGUCGGGUCAAGUCUUACCAAUUAUAAUUAUGGACUUAGACAUUAAUCCAACAAACACUCCCCUGGAUACGAGAGUGAAGAACUAAUAAACAAAGUUCUCCAUAAUACUACUUUCGAAAUUCAUUAAUCCAACAAAUACUCCCCUGGGCCUUGGCGACACUCCCCCUAGUUACAAGAGUGUCGGACUAACCCUGUAACCGGAAUCUCAUUGAGGGAGAACGUGACUUGAGUGUAUAGAUCUAUACGGGACUGACUAUCCCACACUUGGCUGCUAGCUACAGCCAAACCGAAAGGCUCAAGGGUGACAAAAGUCAUAAAAUGAUAUGGGCCCCGUUUAGAGCCUUGUCUAGUCUUUAGUAUGAUUAUAGAACUCGCAAUCUAGAUUAUGAAAACUUCUCAACUUACUUAUUAGUUUUAUAUACGUGUUAAAACUAAUAUACUUCACAGGGAUAACCAGGUUUUCAGAAUACAUCUUUUACAUACCAUUUCAGAUUGGAAACCAACUUUUAGGAAAAUAUGGGAUUUUCCUGGGAUAGCAACUGUUCAUAUCUAGACUUGUGUAACAAACAGAUAACUAAACUUUACAUAUAAGAAAAUAUGGGAUUUUCUUGGAUUCGUAACUUUUUCAGGAAACCGAAAGGAAACUUGUUCAUUUUCAGAAAAGAAACCGCUUAUGAACUCACCACCUUUAUGCUGAUUUUCAAACUGCUUGUAUUCUCAGGUCCAUAUUAGACAGGUACCUCACAGUCUUUUGGAGAAGACGGAGCGUGUAAAAGUCACGUCUUUACUUUUUUUCAUAUAUACAUAUGUAUAACACUUGUAACACUUUACUUUCAAACAAAUGUAAAUUUUCAGAUGUAAUGUAAUGGUUGUUUACUUUGCUUACUAUGUACAUUGGUUAUGAUACUUAACAUGAAGUUACGUCCGCCCCGGAACGUUUCUGCCCUGUGUUUCGGGGUGUGACAAACCUUCACACCACCUCUCCAGAUUAACCAACAAAACCACUCAAGGUGAGUUCAUACCCCCACAUUUUCAAGAUUUUUCAUGUUUGAGNGGGGGGGGGGGAUACAAGUAAAAAUUUGUUUAUCCCACAAGUAAUUACAUAUUAUCAUCUUUAUGUUAAUGAUAAGAUAUUAUUUUCAUAAGUUAUGGUUUAUAAUAGUUUUUGGUAUAAAUAUUUGUGAUAUACAUAUUGUUAAAACAAACAUAAUCUAUGUUAUAAAUCAUAAGAAAAUUUAUGAUUGUAAAACUACAUGGUUUUUGGAAACUUUUUCUAAAAGAUAGCUUUUCUAGCAAAAGUGAUUAGAUUAUAGCCGUUUACUAAUUUUGUAGGUUAUAACCCAAAAAUAUUAUGUUUUGAUUCCAUAUUUUUAUACUAGACAAAAAUACUCAUUCAUAUUUAUAUAAAAGAUAAUAUAAAUAGUUUAAACAAACGAGAUAAACUAUAAUUCGUAUAGUCUGGAAGUCACAAACCACACCUUUAUUUUAGAAGUUACAUAUUAUUAUUCAAAGAUAUACGACUUCAUUUACAAGAAAAAGGAGUCACAGUUCACAUAAAUCUGUUGAUGCUCUUGUGAGAAAUUCUCUUCACCGUACCUAGCUAGUCUACACCUUAAGUCCUGCAUUAUAACUAGAGUCUCAUUGAGGGAGAGAAAAAUUGUUGUGUAUAGAUCUAUACGGUAUUGACAACCCCACACCUCAGUUGUUCGCUACAGUUAGACAGGCAAGUCUGGGGUGACCAAUGUCUACCACUUCUGACUCCUAAAGAACAUCGUUCAGGCAUAUUUGUCAUAUGAAGCAUAAUUAUAAUACCUCUAUUAGGGAUUAACAAAACGACUUGGUUUACGGAGUAACUUACACUUCAAUAGUUUUAUAAAAAGAUAAAGCUACAUACUAUUUUUAGCACAACAUUACUUAUACAUUUUUGGUCUUAGGGUUUAAGACUAUGUUUACAGUUAAGAAAAUAUUGGAUUUUCUGGAAACAUACAUUAUCAUUUCUACAAGGAAAAUAUACAAAGUAAAUACAUACAUCUACAAUUUAUACUUAAGAAAAUAUUGGAUUUUCUAGAAACACACAUUAUCAUUUUUACAAGGAAAUUAUACAAAGGAAAUACACACAUCUACAGAUCAUACUUAAGAAAAUAAUGGAUUUUUUUGGAAACAUACAUUAUCAUUUUUACAAGGAAAUUAUACAAGGGAAAUACAUACAUUUAUAGUUCAUGUUAAAGAAAAUAUUGGAUUUACAAGAAGUAUACAAAUCAUUUUACACGAAAAUGUUACAAAUCCUUCUCACUCACAAACGCUUAUGAACUCAAUAGCUUAAUUGUUGAAACUUUUCAAAAUCACUUGUAUUCUCAGGAAACCAGUCGACAGGUACUCAACCCUUCUUGAGGGCUGGCGUCGUUGUGACAACCCGAAAUUUCUAACUUACAUUCAUCAUUGUAAUUAAAGUUAGCUUCGUUUUGCUAUUUUAUAAUGAAGUUUUGGGUCUAAAAGAGUGCUUAAACCUUAGUAUAUUUGAGUUAUGUGUCGGAGGAUGGAUUAGAUUGGGUGUAGCAUUAGAAAAACGGGCCAAACACAUCAAACCUGGUGUGUGCGGCCAUACACUAGAGUGUGCGGCCAGCCAGCUUCACACAGGCCAAUCACACACACCUCCAACCGCACACACCCUCCUAUAAGUACUAUCCUUUGUCAUUUUGAUCAUUUCUUACACUCUUGCAAACCUAGGACUCGAAAAUCCUCUCAAGUAUUAUCCAGAAAUGUAACAUCUUUCACCAAGAACACCAAGAACACCAUGUUUUCUGGCAGCACACGCUUCUGGCAGCACACCUGGCCCCACACCUGGCCGCACAUAUGUGCUGGCAGCACACCUGGCCGCACACACACAUAUAGUGUGUAUUUUGGCCAUACACUCCCUUGUAUACCCUUUUAACCCUUCGUACAAUCAUUUAUGGUUGUAACACUUCAAUAUAAGUGUGCACUAGUCCCUAAGGUGGUCUCAAUUAAUAAAUUAGUUGUUCAUAACACUAAUUAUAUUCAUAUAUGUGCCAAUAUAUGCUAAAUAGGAUUCACAUGUGUACUCAAGUCACCACUUGAUACAUAGCAACUAAUCCAACAUUUUCAUCAGAACCACUCACUACAGGUGAGUUCAUACCCCUUAAUCAAUGUUUUAACUAUUUUUAAAUGUUUUAUGGGGGGGAUACAAGUAGAAUAAUGCUAGUCAUUAUAUUAAUCAUAUGUGAUUAAUAAGCAAGAUUCAAAUGGUUGGCUACUCAUUAGCCGUUUUACCAAACAGUUUACUUCAAAUGUUUUUCAUAAACACAUUAUGUGUUUAAAUCUCCUUAUUACACUGUACAUUUUACUCCGUAUGUAUUAUUUCAAACUUAUUUACAAUUGUGAUUCAAACAAAUGUUUCCUUAUACUAAAGUUGUUUAAUCAAACCCAUGACUUCAAAACGUUUUAUAAAUGGACACCAAGUCGAUCUUUUCUUAGAUAAUAAUUAUGUUCAAAGGUUUUACAAAACUUAUUUUAUGCUUUUAUAUUAUAAAUUGGAUACCUCUAUAUGUAUAUUAUAAAUUGGAUACCUCGAUUUGGAUGUGGUCUGAUAGGAUAGCGGGUACUUGUCCGAAGGUCGUUUAAAUAUUAGUUAUAUAUCAUGUGUACAUAUAUAGUCAUAAAAGGUCCUUCCAGUUCAUCCAAUGCCCUUGGGUAGCAAGGGUAUACAUCCAUGUUCAUACGUGCCAGUUGGAUUACUAGUAAACUACCAUAUGGGUAGUUUAGAAAGAUACUAAAACUAUUACUAGAACAUGAUACCAUACAAUGAGUCAGUUCAUUCAUGAGUCAAUACUUGCUAGAACAUUACAACACAUUACUUUGCUUGCUAGAUAGAGAGCACGUACACUACAGCUAGAACAUUACAAUGCAUUACUAUACUUGCUAGAUAGAGAGCACGUACACUACAGCUAGAACAUUACAGUCCAUUACCAUACUAUUACAUAAAUAUGGUCACAUGAUCACAUUUACAUGAGUACGGUUACAAGAAUUACUAGUACAUUUUAUAUGUAUAGAUUCUGUUAUAUAAUCCUCAUUCUUAUCUUUAGCUUGUGAUUCAAUCACAUAAUCGACGAGAUAGAUUGGAUUUAAUAUCCUAGUACCCAAGGAUACGUUGUGGGACUGACCAUUCCUAGAAUCUCUGUUAGCUACAAAGGUAAAAGCACAUCCACGGAUGUCAACGGUUGAUACCAUUACAGGUAUACUUUUGGGGACUGACUAUUCCUAUACCCAGUUGUUAGUAACAGAGGUAAAUGUACAUCUACGGAUGACUUCAGUUAACAUUGUUAGUUGCCCAUGUUCUAAAGGGUAAUACUAAUACAGCUUGGUCUUGGUAGAAGACUACAUCCAGAACAGUUAGGUCUUGGUAGAAGACAACAUUCAGAAUAGUUAGGUCUCGGUAGAAGACUACAUUCAGAGCAAUUAGGUCUUGGUAGAAGGCUACAUUGAGAAUAGUUAAGUCUUGGUAGAAGACUCCUUUUGUUACUAAUAGGAAUCAUAGGGAUUUCUAGGGCUUUUCAAACUUUUACAGUUGUUUUACAAACAUUUUCAUACAUACAGUUCAUUUAUGUGACAACCCGAAUUUUCCAUUCUGAACAAACAAUAUCACUUCAAUAGAAGUUAUAACAGUCACAGUAAAUUUUCAGACUUUUCGGAUAAGUUUGAGUAAUUCAGGGUUUACACUUCAGGAGAUAUCAGGAGAGUGGAUGUACUAGGGUUUCAUGCAACACUGUUAUUCCAACACUCUGUCAUAUUAGAAAUCAUUUCGGGAAUAAAAAUAUUUUCUGCCAAAAAUAUCUCAAGACUAUAAAUAGAAUUCUGAACCAAAUUCAUUCAUUUUUCGCAUUUCCAACUAGAGAAAAGCCAUUUUCUCUCUCACGGAUCUUCGGGUUUUUAUCCCAAAUCGUGAGUACUUCAAUCUAGUUGUAUUGUAUAGCUUAGAUUAUGCUUAAUAACAUCAAAAUAACGACAAAGCAGCAAGAUUUGAGAGUUUACUCCCCAAAAACAUCUUGGAGAAUAAACUCCUUUUCAAAAGCCAAAUGAGGCAUAGUCCUUCCUUAAGCCAUGAAACUAGUUUGGAAUUGUACACUAACGAGUUUAGGGACAGAAAACAAACUGAAAGCAACAAGAUUUGAGAGUUUACUCCCCAAGAACAUCUUGGAGAGUAAACUCCUCUUGGAGAGUAAACUCCUUUUGGAGAGUAAACUCCAUUUUAAGGGCCAAAAGUGUCCCAAUGUCCCUCAAAGCCUUCGAAAUGAACCUUGAGACUAUCCAUGACAUGUUUAGACAUCCAAAACCAAUAGAAUCAAGGGUUGAAAUUGAGUUCACGGCCAAGGAAGUUCUUGGGCCGUGAACUCCAUUUUAGGGUGUCAAAAUGCCCAAAAUGCCACCCUUAAGCAAAGAGAGUAGCAUAGCUUUUUACCUUGAUGUGUCUAAGACCCAAAACAACCAAAAUACCAACAUCCACAAGUGUUUACGGCCACAAACACAUGACCAAAUGGUCUAUGGGCCGAAAACUCAAGUUAGGGGUGUUUUGGUGCCACAAACACUUCCUAAGGCUUAGGCAUGAAUUUAGAAUGCUUCCUUAUGACCUUUAAGACCCUCAUAAACAUAUUUGGACACCCCAAAAAGUGCCAAAAGAAGUGGUCCUUCUCAUCCUAGGCUUAAGCUAAUGUCCCUAAAUCAUUCCCUAGCUUUCAUAGUUGCACUAACCCAUGAGUAACCAUGAGUUUACGGCCGUAAACUCCCUUGGGCCGUGAACUCAUGGUAGUAAACUCAUUUUUGUGCCUUAUACGUUUCUAUGUUGAAUCACAUGUGAUUCCAACACUUGGUCAAGGUGUUUCCUAGUCCCGGAAGGUGUUAUCUUUCAUAUAGUUGUUAAAAACACUAUAUUCAUGUCAUUAUGUGUCGUUAAAUAUCAUUUAGGAAUUAUUGUGUCUCGGGACUUCAUUCGUGGAACUUCUCAUUCAUACACGUGUACCCGCUAGAACCACUCACAAUAGGUGAGUUCAUACCGCUAAUCAAUGUUUUAAAUGAUUUUAAAUGCUUUAAUGGGGGGGGGGAUACAAGUAGAAAACAGCAUGUUAUUAAAUCAUCUAUAUGUAUUUUAUAACUGUGUUUUCAUUUAACAAAUUUCACAUACUACAAAAUGUGAUGCAUGAAACGGUUUGCUAUCUUUAAAAUACUUUGUUAUCAAAUGUAUUACUUUUGAAAUGUUUAUCAAAAUGACAUCAAGUCACUUUUAUAUUUGUUCAAAACCCGUAGAUGUCUUACAAAACCAUUUUACAUUCUUGAACUAAACUAUGCAUAUACACUUAUAAUCUUAUAUAUGUAUUGUUGUUAUAGUUUACAUCUUUCAUUUAGUUUCCCACACCCUUGAGUAGUAAGAGUGUAUAAACCCACUUGAUCAACCAAUUACAUUUCAGUAAAUUAUCAUAGGGAUAAUUUGAAGGUAUCAAACAUUAUUCCUAUUACAAGGAAUCAAACAAGAGUCAGUUCAUUCAUGAGUGCACACCAGUACACUACCUGAUACAUGAACAUGUUUACAUAUACUUACCUGAUACAUGAACACACUAACAUGAAUGCCAUACAUGAACACUGUUACAUAUGUGCAUUAUCCUGUAUUCACUUACCUAGAUACUUGUACUUAGAACUACGAGGAUGAUUAAUUAGUACUUUCUGUGUAAAUUAUCUUUCCUAUCCCGGUUUAAUGGGAUAUCUCGGCGGGACUAACCAUUCCGAACCCCGCUGAUUAGCACCAGUGGUCGAUGACCAUCUACGGAGGUCUAUGGUUACUAUUUAUAUUAGGUAGAUCGAUAUCUAGGCGGGACUAACCAUUCCGAAUCCCAUCUGAUUAACACCAGUGGUCGAUGACCAUCUACGGAGGUCUAUGGUUACUAUUUAUAUUAGGUAGAUCGAUAUCUAGGCGGGACUAACCAUUCCGAAUCCCAUCUGAUUAACACCAGUGGUCGAUGACCAUCUACGGAGGUCUAUGGUUACUAUUUAGAUUAGGUAGAUCGAUAUCUAGGCGGGACUAACCAUUCCAAAUCCCAUCUGAUUAACACCAGUGGUCGAUGACCAUCUACGGAGUUCUAUGGUUACUAUUUAUAUUAGGUAGAUUGAUAGCAGGGGCUAACCCCUCCACCCACAUGCUGCUGCUAUAGACGACAAGUGGACAAUCUUUGGAUGUUCAUUAGGUUAUACCUUUCGCUUAUUGCAAUGUUGUGUUACUCCUAGUACCCAACGAUAACACUUACAUUAAUACUUUUUCUGGACAAUCUUCGGAUGUUCAUUAGGUUAUCUAUUUCGCUUAUUGCGAUGUUGUGUUAGUCCUAGUACCUAGUGACAACACUUACACGAGUAUAUUUUUCCUGUUUACUUUAUUUUGUGAUAUGUUCACAUAAACGAUGAGUUAGACUAAGUACUUUAGUACUAGUCAAUAGAAGGAAAAACUAUCAUUUUACUUACANNNNNNNNNNNNNNNNNNNNNNNNNNNNNNNNNNNNNNNNNNNNNNNNNNNNNNNNNNNNNNNNNNNNNNNNNNACAAAACAUUCGGGUCUUGGUAGAAGACUACAUUGUCAUAACAAAACAUUCGGGUCUUGGUAGAAGACUACAUUGUCAUAACAAAACAUUCGGGUCUUGGUAGAAGACUACAUCUCAAACUAAUAGAAAAUAAGGGAUUUUCUAGGGCCUUUCAUACUUACAUCAACAUUUUCAUUUAAAGGUUUACAUGACUUUUAAAAUAGCUUUUCAAAGCAAGUCAAUGACACUUAAAUACUUAUGAAUUAACCAGCUUUAAAGUUGAUACUCUCUUUCAAAAUAACUCGUAUUCUCAGGUCAUCAGUAGACAGCUACGGUGGGCAGGUCUUGAGAAUACGGAGCAGACAAGUCUCGUCUUUUAUUUUGAUUAUAUAUUUUUGGUGUUUUAUUACAAUGAAAGAACACAUGUAUUAAAACUUUACUUAUAAUUCAAUGGAUGAUGUUGUUGCUUGUUUACUAUUUUACACUGUUGUGAUACUGUACAUGACGUCCUCCACCCCUGAACGUUUCCGCCGUUCGUGGUUUUGGGGUGUGACAGAUUGGUAUCAGAGCAUUGUUUAUAGUGAAUUAAGUAUAUCAACCCAUAAAAGAUAUACUAACUAUAAACACAUUGGGAUUAAAACACUCUGUCUAAGAGUUUAUACUUUUAAAUAAUAAAACAUUUAACAAAGUAUACAUGCCUGCAUUCAUACUAAAAUCCGUGUCACAAUGACAAGAACAAAAGUAUUGAGAUUGUUGAAUAUCACAGGUAAACUCGGGGAUGUAUGGUCAAUCUUGGGAGUGGCAUAGCCUGAUCAACUAUGUUGUUCCGAGGGGUGAUUAGCACAUGCCCAAGAAUGGUUGUGAUAUGGCUACAAGUCUAAAAACUUACCAACAUUACCACAAUGAGAACAUUAUAACAGAACCUAAGUCUAAAAUACCAUAGGGGUGUUUUGUGUUACUAUAAUUACUAUAUACUUGAGAACUAAAAUGGAAUCUUCAUUCCUAAGUUGAUAAUUGCUAAGUGGAUACGCUAAAGUUAUAUGUAACUAGGAUGUUAUAGACUUAGAAUCGGUGAAAUUUUUGCUUUACCCCUAUUCCUUGUGAAUUUGGAGUUGAGGUCACUUAUUCGAAGGCUUAUCCUGUGUUGAUUACAUAUAACUGGUAUGCACUUUCCAAAUAGCGAUGGAACUAAUGAAGAUUUCCCUAAAUAAUUAUCUAGAUAGUUCGUCUAAUAAUUAUUUUCUUACCCCAAAUUCUCGCGUAGAUAACAUGGUUGGAUUCCAUCCCCACGACAACCUGUUCCUUCCGAACGCGGUUAUUGUUGGAUGGUUUGGAGAAGAACCAGAUAAUGAUCAUCCAAUGCCUCUAAAUGAUUACCAUGCUGAAUACCUUUCAUACGAUGCCAUCUCCGAACCCGAGAUUGAGGACCUACCCCAGGAAGCUCCCUUUCCAAUUCCUAACCCUCGUCCGACUUUUCAUGGCCUGACGCCUGAGUGGCUGGAAUGNUUCAUGGCCCGACGCCUGAGUGGGUGGAAUGUUUGGAAACAUGGAGCCAAGGACAAGAUCAACCCAUGCCAUUUAAUGGUGACCGAAGCUUCUAUGACCUAAGCAAUGGGGGCUCAGCAGACAGAAUCAUGCCAAUUCUGAUCCGAAGAGUUGCCCGAAACGAAAUUCAGGGCAGGACAGCUCUAAAACGUAUCGCAGAAGUUGAUACAAAUGGAGGAAUGCAUAUGCUUCGCACUAGUCGCCUUGAACAUGCUCGUGAGAGGUCUGAGAGAGACCAUGAAACCCUGCUGCAAGCAAUGGCUGAAUAACGAGCCGAAGUCAUAGAACUUCGAGUACGCCAGAGAGAGUACGAAAGGCGCCUACUUGAUGUGGAACGCCAACUGGCUGAACUGAGAGUUCACCAGAGGGAUGACCGUCGCUAGUAGUAGAUACAUUAAUUUAUAUUUCUUGUUAGAAAGGACUCGUGUUUCUGUCUAUGCCCGAUGUGCCAUUUUCUAUGAAACUAUCUUGUACCGUAAGUACUUCUGGUUAGGUCUUUACGCUGUCAGGAACUAUCUUCUCUGGAUAUGAUGUAAGACCUUGUUACAAGGUCAUUUUCCCGAACUUGUACGUCAUGAAUAUCAGAGGUAUUGACAGUUGGAAAACUUAUGUGUCAUUCUUUAUUCAAAUACUCUUAUCAUACCUUCAUUAGAGUCUAUUUGAAACAUGCUCUAAUCAAGUCAUUGGACUAUAGCAAUUUAACUCCUGAGACAUCUCCAAGUCUCUUUCAAUGGUUGGAUCACAUUAUUCACCAACCAACAAUACCUCGGCUCGAACAACAAACAUCUUGAGAACAUUGCAUGAAUUUACUUCCAAUCUUUGCUAGGACUGCAUCUUAGGGAUGUAGGUCAAACCUUCGUGAACAUAAUUCCAUUCCGUACUAGGACUGCAUCAUUGGGAUGUAGGUCGAACCUUAGGGAACAUACUUCUAUUCUUUACAUGAGCGAUCGAACUACGUUUAGGUUCAACCAUUCUUGCUCACAAACUCAUUUUCUUUCGGUGUAACAGAAUCAUGUCACCCAAGAAAAACGAUCAGCCCAUCAACCAAACACCAACUCUUCAGAUCGAUGCAGCUACCUUUCAAGCUGCAGUCUCGGCUGUCGUGUCAGCUAUUCUGACCCACCUGAACGCUAACAACGCAAGUGUUAGAGGGAUUGUUAACAAUCAUUCCAAUCCAAGUAACAAACGGAAGUCUUGGAAUAAACCUAAGGACACCAGUAACAACCUUCACAGCCACGACAUCAGCACCUCCAACUACCAUCCCUUCGGGCAUCCUAAUGGUCCCUAAAGCAGCCAGGCUUUAUGCUGGAAAUCUCCCAAAAUGCAUUAAAUGCAGUUUUCACCACCAUGGAUCUUGUAGGGAGAUGCAGUGCUCACACUGCAACAGGAAGGGGCAUACAACCCGUUACUGCAAGACUCCAACAGCUCAGCCUGCCCAAGUGCCAAACACCAGUGUGAACCAAACUUGUUACAGUUGUGGCAAGGUAGGUCAUUACAAAAGGAACUGCCCAUAGGCAGCAAAUGUUGGCACACACAGCAGUAUGCUACCGACCACCGCCGCAGGAGAGUCUACUCCGGACCCACGUUAAUGUAAUUUAGGCGUUUCGUUGUAACAGACUUAUGAACCAUCCCCAAGACUAGUGCAACCAGAGUCUUAUCUUUUGCGGGAUCCCGUCCGUUUAGGGAUGCUCGUGCUGCGUAUACUUGUCUUUUGUAGUAUAUCUUAUUCGCAGCAAUAGUCUUGUAGCAAAUCUAAAAAGUAUUGUAACUCUAUUCAUGGUUGCACAGUUGUUUUUGUCUGUAAACGUUUUAUUUUCAAAUCUAAUGUCUUUAAGUUUAUGUAUGAUUCCGACAUUAUCAUACGACUCGAUUCCAUUCGAUCCUCGCAAUGCCAGUUUGAUUAGUACAUCUCUUUCUCAGUAAACGUCUUUUAGCGAAGCCGUCAUAUCGGAACACCGGGGGUACUCGUGCAUGAAGUACCUUAUAGUUCCUUUCCUUUCCGAAGGAAUCCCCACAGUGUUACUCGUGCAGUACGUCAAGUUCAAUUCCAGGAUUCAUACAAUUGAUCUAUCACUGAAGAAUUUAUACAUGAGAGUGAUAUAUAAUCAAUGUUCUACAGGUUUAGAAUUGAUGAUUCCACUUUAACUUCUUUUCCCUCGAUGGGGUGUGAGAUUAAGGAAGAAUCAGUUAUUCAACUACCUUUUCAGUCUUAAUUAUAUACGACUCGUAUACACGAAAUUGUGUCAUUGAAUCNUGAAUCACGUAUGAAUUCUAAUAUGAACUUCAGGACGGAGACUGUCCAGGAGUACGAUUAAUUGCAUUGGCAUAGGAACAAACUUAGAACCCGGUAUGACUCUUAUAACCAGAUCGCCUUCAGUCUAAACACCUAUGGAAGAUACAAGAACAGCCCGGACAACACAAUGAACUACUCAACAAUAGAAUUAGGAGACCAUGCUUCUCACCCUUGAGAGCUCCAAUCUUAUUAUUACCAGAAGUCGACGGAGUGCAUCUUAUGUACGUCGACUACCAGAGACUUCAUUUAGAUUUCCUUUAGAAAUCGUUGUCUCUGCAUCGCUUAGACGAAUUGAUUAAGCAAACACAGGGAAAAAGUUACUUUUAGAAAUGGACCUGAGAUCCGAAUAUCACCAGUUCGAGUGAUAGGGAAGGAUGUCCUAAACCCUCCGAANGACUACCCUCCGAACUCGAUACGGACACUUCGAGUCCGUAGUGAUACCCCUCGGAUAGGACCAAUACGCCCAUAGUAUUCAUGAGCUAAAUGAGUGGAGUACGCCUUUCUUACUAGGAUCAGUUCGUCAUUUAUCCAUGAAAUGACUUACUUAUCUAUCCUCGUAGUAAGAAAGAACCCUUAGAAACAUUACCCUCGGAGAUACUUUUCGCAAUGUUCUCUGAACAUGAGGUUUGGAAUUAAGAGUCAGAUUUCCUGAGACACACUAUUAGUGAUGUGGAAAUUCUUGAGUAUUUUGUCAAAUCAUCCAAAACCGUUGGUAAUUUAUCGGCACCGUAGUCACCGACGGAAAAUUCGCCAAAUUCUAGGUCUUACAGACCUACUAUCAUAGUCCAUUCGUAACUCCCCACAAAUUUCAGAAACCCUUUCGAAUUUGACCCAACAAGGGAUGGCGCUUGACUGGGAAGUAAGCGAGAGAAAGAACCUUUGGAAUUCCAUGUGAGAGACCAAAUUCUUUAAGAAACCUCACUCUCGGAAUGGCUUAAAUACGCUUCGUAAGGCGUGGAAAGCUAAAUCCAAUAUAGUUAGGACCUCCGAGAUGCCUACCAAAAUCGGUCCUGCAUCUCACCGACUAGAUCUACUCCGCGUACUCAUUAACAUACAUGUUUACCUUCGCGUCUCAAUUUUUAAACAAUACCUUUUCGUUGGAACUCUCGUAAGCCCACUCGACAAAAUCGAUAUUUACGAGAUCCUCGCCUUCGUAUUAGAACCGUUGUGAUGCUCAACCGAGUGGUCUACCAGACGAAGCAGUGCCAUCGCCGUUAGUGAAGGUUCGUUGGGAUACCAACCGAGAACCCGAUUUUCACUUAGCAGCGCGAGAACCAAUCGAUUAAGAAGUUCACAUAACGACUCGAUCAUUCGUACAUACUUCCUUGCCUAAAUUCUAAUUUCAGGACAGAAUUCCCUUUUAACAGGGGGAUGAUGUGACAACCCAAAAUUUCCAUUCUGAACAAACAAUAUCACUUCAAUAGAAGUUAUAACAGUCACAGUAAAGUUUCAGACUUUUCGGAUAAGUUUGAGUAAUUCAGGGUUUACACUUCAGGAGACAUCAGGAGAGUGGAUGCACUUGGGUUUCGUCAACACUGUUAUUCCAACACUCUGUCAUAUUAGAAAUCAUUUCGGGAAUAAAAAUAUUUUCUGCCAAAAAUAUAUCAGGACUAUAAAUAGAAUUCUGAACCAAAUUCAUUCAUUAUUCGCAUUUCCAACUACAGAAAAGCCGUUUUCUCUCUCAUGGAUCUUCAGGUUUUUAUCCCAAAUCAUGAGUACUUCAAUCUAGUUGUAUUAUAUAGCUUAGAUUGUGCUUAAUAACAUCAAACUAACGACAAAACAGCAAGAUUUGAGAGUUUACUCCCCAAGAACAUCUUGGAGAGUAAACUCCUUUUCAAAGGCCAAAUGAGGCCUAGUCCUUCCUUAAGCCAUGAAACUAGUUUGGACUUAUACACUAACGAGUUUAGGGACAGAAAAGUAACUCAAAGCAACAAGAUUUGAGAGUUUACUCCCCAAGAACAUCUUGGAGAGUAAACUCCUCUUGGAGAGUAAACUCCUUUUGGAGAGUAAACUCCAUUUUAAGGGCCAAAAGUGUCACAAUGUCCCUCAAAGCCUUGGAAAUGAAUCUUGAGACUACCCAUGACAUGUUUAGACAUCCAAAACAAAUAGAAUCAAGGGUUGAAAGUGAGUUCACGGCCAAGGAAGUUCUUGGACCGUGAACUCCAUUUUAGGGUGUCAAAAUGCCCUAAAUUCCACCCUUAAGCCAAGAGACUAGCAUAGCCUUUUACCUUGAUGUGUCUAAGACCCAAAACAACCAAAAUACCAACACCCACAAGUUUUUAUGGCCGCAAACACAUGACCAAAUGGUCUAUGGGCCGAAAAGUCAAGUUAGGGGUUUUUUGGUGCCACAAACACUUCCUAAGGCCUAGGCAUGAAUUUAGAAUGCUUCCUUAUGACCUUUAAGACCCUCAUAAACAUAUUUGGACACGAGUUUACGGUUGUAAACUCAUUUGGGCCGUGAACACCCCAAAAGUGCCAAAAGAAGUGGUCUUUCUCAUCCUAGGCUAAAGCUAAUGUCCCUAAAUCAUUCCCUAGCUUUCAUACUUGCACUAACCCAUGAGUAACCAUGAGUUUAUGGCCGUAAACUCCCUUGGGCUGUGAACUCAUGGUAGUAAACUCAUUUGUGUGCCUUAUACCUUCCUAUGUUGAAUCACAUGUGAUUCCAACACUUGAUCAAGGUGUUUCAUAGUCCCGGAAGGUGUUAUCUUUCAUAUAGUUGUUAUAAACACUAUAUUCAUGUCAUUAUGUGUCCUUAAAUAUCAUUUAUGACUUAUUGUGUCUCGGGACUUCAUUCGUGGAACUUCUCAUCCAUACACGUGUACCCGCUAGAAUCACUCACAACAGGUGAGUUCAUACCCCUAAUCAACGUUUUAAAUAAUUUUAAAUGAUUUAAUGGGGGGAAUACAAGUAGAAAACAACAUAUUAUUAAAUCAUUUAUAUGUAUUUUAUAAUUGUGUUUUAAAUCAGCAGAUUUCACAUACUACAAAAUGUGAUGCAUGAAAUGGUUUUAAAUCUUAAAAAUACUUUGUUAUCAAAUGUAUUACUUUUGAAAUGUUUAUUAAAGUGACACCAAGUCAUUGUUAAUUAUUGUUCAAAACUCNNNNNNNNNNNNNNNNNNNNNNNNNNNNNNNNNNNNNNNNNNNNNNNNNNNNNNNNNNNNNNNNNNNNNNNNNNNNNNNNNNNNNNNNNNNNNNNNNNNNNNNNNNNNNNNNNNNNNNNNNNNNNNNNNNNNNNNNNNNNNNNNNNNNNNNNNNNNNNNNNNNNNNNNNNNNNNNNNNNNNNNNNNNNNNNNNNNNNNNNNNNNNNNNNNNNNNNNNNNNNNNNNNNNNNNNNNNNNNNUGUUACAUAGGUGCAUUAUCCUGUAUUCACUUACCUGGAUACUUGUACUUAGAACUACGAGGAUGAUUUAUUAGUACUUUCUGUGUAAAUUAUCUUUCCUAUCCCGGUUCAAUGGGAUAUCUCGGUGGGACUAACCAUUCUGAACCCCGCUGAUUAGCACCAGUGGUCGAUGACCAUCUACGGAGGUCUAUGGUUACUAUUUAUAUUAUGUAGAUCGAUAUCUAGGCGGGACUAACCAUUCCGAAUCCCAUCUGAUUAGCACCAGUGGUCGAUGACCAUCUACGGAGGUCUAUGGUUACUAUUUAUAUUAGGUAGAUCGAUAUCUAGGCGGGACUAACCAUUCCGAAUCCCAUCUGAUUAACACCAGUGGUCGAUGACCAUCUACGGAGGUCUAUGGUUACUAUUUAUAUUAGGUAGAUCGAUAUCUAGGCGGGACUAACCAUUCCGAAUCCCAUCUGAUUAACACCAGUGGUCGAUGACCAUCUAUGGAGGUCUAUGGUCACUAUUUAUAUUAGGUAGAUCGAUAUCUAGGCGGGACUAACCAUUCCGAAUCCCAUCUGAUUAAAACCAGUGGUCGAUGACCAUCUACGGAGGUCUAUGGUUACUAUUUAUUUUAGGUAGAUCGAUAGAAGGGGCUAACCCCUCCACCCACCUACUGCUGCUACAGAGGGCAAGUGGACAAUCUUCGGAUGUUCAUUAGGUUAUACCUUUCGCUUAUUGCGAUGUUGUGUUACUCCUAGUACCCAACGAUAACACUUACAUUAAUACUUUUUCUGGACAAUCUUCAGAUGUUCAUUAGGUUAUCUAUUUCGCUUAUUGCGAUGUUGUGUUAGUCUUAGUACCUAGUGCCAACACUUCCACGAGUAUAUUUUUCCUAUUUACUUUAUUUUGUGACACAUUCACCUAAACAAAGAGUUAGACUAAGUACUUUUAGUACUAGUCAAUAGAAAGGAAAAACUAUCAUUUUACUUACAAAACAUUCGGGUCUUGGUAGAAGACUACAUUAUCAUAACAAAACAUCCGGGUCUUGGUAGAAGACUACAUUAUCAUAACAAAACAUUCGGGUCUUGGUAGAAGACUACAUUAUCAUAACAAAACAUUCGGGUCUUGGUAGAAGACUACAUUGUCAUAACAAAACAUUCGGGUCUUGGUAGAAGACUACAUUGUCAUAACAAAACAUUCGGGUCUUGGUAGAAGACUACAUUAUCAUAACAAAACAUUCGGGUCUUGGUAGAAGACUACAUUGUCAUAACAAAACAUUCGGGUCUUGGUAGAAGACUACAUUGUCAUAACAAAACAUUCGGGUCUUGGUAGAAGACUACAUCUCAAACUAAUAGAAAAUAAGGGAUUUUCUAGGGCUUUUCAUACUUACAUCAACAUUUUCAUUUAAAGGUUUACAUGACUUUUAAAACAGCUUUUCAAAGCAAGUCAAUGGCACUUAAAUACUUAUGAAUUCAUCAGCUUUAAAGCUUAUACUCUCUUUCAAAAUAACUCGUAUUCUCAGGUCAUCACAGGUAUGGUGGCCAGGUCUUGAGAAGACGGAGGAAACAAGUCUCGUCUUUUAUUUUGAUUAUAUAUUUUUGGUGUUUUAUUACAAUGAAAGAACACAUGUAUUAAAACUUUACUUAUAAUGCAAUGGAUGAUGUUGUUGCUUGUUUACUACUUUUACACUGUUGUGAUACUGUACUUGACGUCCUCCACCCGUGAACAUUUCCGCCGUUCGUGGUUUUGGGGUGUGACAAUUUACAUCUUCAAUACUUACAAUUCGUAUACAUACAAAUACUUACAUCUCAAAUACAUACAAGUAUUUACAUACAAAUUAAGACACUAAAAUACUUAUGAUCUCACCAGCUUCAAAGCUGAUACUCGCUUUCAAAAUUACUUGUAUCCUCAGGUCAUCAUAGACAGGUACCGAUGCUAGGAUUAAGGAAGAUGUAGCUUGAUCAAAACUCAUCUUUCAUUUUGAUUUAUACAUUAGUGUCUAUUAGACAUAUCAGAACACACUUGUAUUAAAAUUAUAUUAUUAAUGAAAUGGAUGAUGUUGUUGCUUGUUUACUACUUUUCAUUGUUGUGAUACUGUACAUGACGUCCUCCGCCCCAGAACGUUUCCACCGUUNCGCCGUUCUUGGUUUUGGGGUGUGAUAGAUUGGUAUCAGAGCAUUGUUUAUAGUGAAUUAAGUAUAUCAACCCAUAAAAGAUAUACUAACUAUAAAUACAUAAGGGAUUAAAAAUACUCUGACCAAGAUUUUAUACUUUAAAUAAUAAAAUAUUUAAUUAAGUAUACGUGCCUGCAUUCAUGCUAAAAUUAGUGUCACUAGGACAGUACAAAAGAAUUUCGGUUGUUGGGCAACACAGAUUGACUUAGAAACAUAUAGUCAAAACUGGGAAGAUAUAGUCUGAUCACCUAUAUUAUCCGAGGGUUGACUAGCAUGUGCCUAAGUGUAGUUGUGUGGUUGCAACAAGUCUAAGAUCUUACCAACGCUACCACAAUGAGAAUAGUAGAACAUAACAUUAAACUUAAAAUACUAUAGGAGUAUUUCGUGUUACUAUAAGUACUUUAUACUUGAGAACUAAAACGGGAUCUUCAUUACUAAGUUGAUCGUUGCUAAGUGGAUACACUAAGGCUAUAUGUAAUUAGGAUGUUAUAGACUUAGAAUCUGUGAAAAUUUUACUUCACCCCUAUUAUGUGUGAAUAUGGAGUUAAGGUCACUUAUUCGAAGGCCUAUUCUGUUUCGAUUACAUAUAACUGGUAUGCACUUCACAGAUAGCGAUGUAACUGAUGAAGAUUUUCUAAAUAGUUAUCUAGAUAGUUCGUCUAAUAAUUAUUUUCUCACCCCAAUUCUCGCAUAGAUAACAUGGCUGGACUCCAUCCCCACGUCAACUAGUAUCUUCCAAACGAAGUCAUAGCUGGUUGGUUUAGAGAAGAAAUAGAGAAUGAUCAUCCUAUCCCUUUGAAUAAUCACCAUGAUGAAGACCUUUCGGACGGUGCUAAUUCCGAACCAGAGGUUGAGAACCUACCCCAAGCAGCUCCCUUCAAAUUCCUAGCCCUCGUCCGGCUUUUCAUGGCCCAACGCCUGAGUGGGUGGGAUGCUUGGAAAAAUGGAGCCAAGGACAAGAUCAGCUCAUGCCAUUUAAUGGUGACCGAAACUUUUAUGACCUAAGCAAUGGGAGGCUCAACAGACAGAAUCUUGCCAAUCUUGGUCCGCAGAGUGGCCCGAAAUAAGAUUCAAGGCAGGACAGCCCUACAUCAGAUCACGGAAGUUGUCAUCGAUGCGGGAAUGCAUACCCUCCGCACCAUUCGUCUAGAAGAUGCUUGUGAGAGAUCUGAGAGAAACCAUGAAACCCUACUUCGAGCACUGGCUGAAUCACGAGCCGAAGUCUUAGAGCUCCGAGUACGCCAAAGGGUGUACGAAAGACACCUACUUGAUGUGGAACGUCAACUGGUUGAACUGAGAGUUCACCAGAGGGAUGACCGUCGCUAGUAGUAGACACUUUACUUUAUUUUCCUUAUUAAAAGGAAUCAUUUUUCUGUCUAUGCUCGAUGUAGCAUUUCCUAUGAAAUUAACUUGUACUGUAAGUACUUUUGGUUAGGUCAUUAUGCUGUCAAGAACUAUCUUCUCUCGAUAUGAUGUAAGACCUUUACAAUGUCAUUUUCCGAACUUCUACGUCAUGAAUAUCAAAGAUUUUGAUAGUCGGCUAACUUAUGUGUCAUUCUUUAUUCAAGUACUCUUAUCAUACUUUCAUUGGAGCCUAUCUGAAACAUACUUUAGUCAGGUCAUUGCACUAUAGUAAAUUAACUCCGGAGACAUUUCCAAGUCUCUUUUAAUUGUUAGAUCAUGUUAUUCACCAACCAACGAUACCUCUGAUUGAACGAACGACGUCUUGAGACCAUUCUUGGGAUGUCGGUCAAACUUUUGAGAACAUAGACGUACUCGUUACGUGAAUAAUCUAAGUACAUCAAGGGUCAACCAUAAUCGCUCACAAAAUCCUUAUCUUUCGUGUUACAGAAUCAUGUCGUCAUCCAGAAGGAAUUAGUCUAACAGCGAAACCUCCGCUUUUCCUAUGGACGCCGCUACCUUCCAAACAGCAGUUACAGCUGCCGUGGUGGCUACCGUAACCACCGUCCUUGCGCACCGUAGCACUAUCAGCACAAUCAAUGUUGAUGAUGGAAUUGAAGUUUCCAAUCGUGGUAUCCAUCCACGAAGUUGCCAAACGGUAACAGUCACAAGCUCGCAAAGCCGAAAAGCAGAGAACAUGAAGCGAAAGCGUCAAGCCCGGAAAGAAUGCAAGAGAUCUAGAAGGCUAGCUAUGCAACAACAACAAGUGGAAACUCCUGCCAUCCCCGUACCGAGCAUGCCAUGUGAGGGAAAACUCCCGAAGUGUGAUAAGUGUAGUUUCCAUCAUCAUGGGGCUGGUCAUGAGAUGAAAUGUUGCAAUUGCCUAAGAAUAGGGCACCAUGCUCGUAGCUGUGGAGCACCAACACAACCCAUCGCUCAAGUCCCUGUCAUCGUGACCGACCCUACACACAGAAGUAGUGAUAAAGCCGACCGCUUUAGGGAGCAAUAUAAGGGAACGAUUCCGAAGUGUAGCAAGUGUGGCUAUCAUCAUAAUGGAGCCUGCCGGUUAUUGCAAUGUACCAAUUGCAACAGACUGGGACACAUUGCUCGUUUCUGUAGAGCUACCUCCACCACUGGAGCAAGCCUAGUUUGCUAUAAUUGUGGUGAGUUUGGGCACUAUAAAAUAGAUUGCCCGAAAAAGGAAGUCAACGAAAACAACCGUAUCCCCGUGACUUCCACUCGACACUUCACUUCCACCACCAAUGUUGGUGAUGUCCAUAUAUGUCAUCAAUGCGGUGAAACUGGACACCUCAAGAAGGAUUGCCCGAUAGCGAAAAACUCGGGAGCAGAUGGGAAGAUUCUCAAGAUCACAGCUGUAGGAGAACCUACUCCGGAACCGCGUUAGUGUAAUUUAGGAUUUUCGUUGUAUUAGACUUAUAAUCUAUCCCGAACUAGUGCAACUAGAGUCUUACCUUUUUGUGAGAUCCUGUCAGUAUAAGGAUGCUCGUGCUACGUAUACUUGUCUUUUGUAGUAUACCUAAUUCGCAGCAAUGGUCUUGUCGUAAGUCUAAAGUACCGUAGCUUUAUUCAUAGUUGCACGGUUAUGUUUUGUCUGUAAAACGUCUUAUGUUCAAAUCUAAUGUAUUUAAGUUUCAGUAUGAUUUCGACAUUAUCAUACAACUAGAUUCAAUUUGAUCCUCACAAAAACAGCUUCCUACGUACAUCUCUUUUGUCUAGAUUGCUUUUCUAGCAUAGCUGUCAUAUCAGAACACUGAAGUACUCAUGCCAGGAGUACCUCUUAGUUAUUUUAUUUCCGAAGAAAUCCCUAAAGUACCACUCGUGCAGUACGUCAAGUUCAAUCCAAGGAUUUAUGCGAUUGAUCUAUCACUGAGGAAUGUAUACAUAAGAGUGAUAUAUAAUCAAGGUUCUACAGGUUUAGAAUUGAUGAUUCCACUUUAACUUCUUUUUCCUUGAUGGGAUGUGAGCUUAAAGAAGAAUCAGUUAUUCGACUACCUUUUCAAUCUUAACUAUAUACGACUCGUAUACACGAGAUUGUGAUUGUGAAACCAUGUAUGAAUUCUAAUAAGAACUUCAGAACGGAGAACUGCCCAAGCCUACGAGUAAUCGCAUCGUCAUGUGAACAAACCGAGAACCCAGUAUGACUCCUGUAAACAGAUCGCCCUAUAGUCUAAACACCUUCGGAGAUACAAGAACAACCCAGACAACUUAGCAAACUACACAGAAAGAGAAUUAGAAGACUAGGUUUCUCACCCUAGAGAACCCCAGUCUUAUCCUUCCAGAGAUCAACGUAUUGCAUCGUAUGUGCCUCGGAUAUCGAGGACUCUGUCAAGAUUUUUCAUUAGAAAUCGUUAUCUCUGUCUCGCAUAGAUGAAAUGGUUGAGCAAACACAAGGAAAGAAUUACUUUCAGAAAUGGGUCUGAGAUCCGAAUAUCACCAGUUUGGGUGUGAGGUAAGGAUGUCCAGAGCACUACCUUCCGAACUCGAUACGGACACUUCGAGUCCGUAGUGAUACCCUUCGGAUAGGACCAAUACGCCUAUAGUUUUCAUGAGCUAAUGAGUAGGGUACGUCCUUCUUACUUGAAUCAGUUUGUCAUUUCUCCAUGUAAUGACUUACUUAUCAAUCCUCGUAGUGAGAAAAAAAUCCAUGGAAACAUUACCUUCGGAAGAACUUUCGGGAAGUUCUCUAAGAACAAGUUUUGAUAUUGUAGAGUCAGGUUCCUAUGACACACUAUUAGUGAUGUGGGAAAUUUUUAGUACUCAUACAAUUUGUCAAAACUGUUGAGAAUUGGUCGACAUCAGAGACGCCGACAGUCAUUCGCCAAAUCCUAGGUCUUUCAGACCUACUGUCAUAGUUCAUCCAGAAUUCCCCGCAAAUCAGAGAAACCUUUACGACUUUGACCCAGCAAUGGGUGGCCCUUGGCUGGGAAGUUAAACGAGAAAAAGAAACCUUGGAGAUUCCAAGUGAGAGACCAAGUUCUUUAGGAAAACUCACUAUUAGGAAUGGCCUAAUGCGCUUCGCUUCACGUGGAAAGCUAAAUCCAAGUUAGUCAGGACCUCCGAGAUUCUUACCAGAAUCGUUUUUGUGCCUCGCAGACUAAACCUACUCCGCGAACUCGGUAACGUACAUUUUACCCUUCGCGUCUCGAUCUUGAAACCGUACAUUUCCAUUAGGACUCUUGUAAGUCCACUCGUCGAGAUCCAUGCCUUCGUAUUAGAACCAUAGUGACCCUCGACCGAGAGGUCAAGCGGACGAAGCAACGUCGCCGCCCGUUACUAAUCGUUCGUUGGGAUACCAACCGAGGACCCUAUUUCACUUAGGAGCGCGAGAACAAAUCGAUUAGGAAGUUCCCCACCUCAUGACUCGAUCAUUCGUACUUACUUUCUUACCUAAAUUAUAAUUUCGGGACGAAAUUCCCUCUAACGGGGGGAUGAUGUGACAACCUGAAAUUUCUAACUUACAUUCAUCAUUGUAAUUAAAGUUAGCUUCGUUUUGCUAUAUUAUAAUGAAGUUUUGGGUCUAAAAGAGUGCUUAAAGAGUUCUUAAAGCUUAGUAUAUUUGAGUUACAUGUCGGAGGAUGGAUUAGAUUGGGUGUAGCAUUAGAAAAACGGGCUAAACACACCAAACCUGGUGUGUGUAGCCGCACACUAGAGUGUGCGGCCAACCAGAAGCACACAGGCCAACCACACACACCUCCAACCGCACACAGCCUCCGAUAAGUACUAUCCUUGGUCAUUUUGAUCAUUACUUACACUCUUGCAAAGCUAGGACUCGAAAAUCCUCUCAAGUAUCAUCCGGAAAGGUAACAUCUUUCACCAAGAACACCAAGAACACAAAGAACACCAUGCUUUCUGGAAGCACACGCUUCUGGCAGCACACCUGGCCGCACACAUGGCCACACACAUGUGCUGCCAGCACACCUGGCCGCACACACACAUAUAGUGUGUAUUUUGGCCAUACACUCCCUUGUAUAGCCUUUUAACCCUUCGUACAAUAAUUUAUGGUUGUAACACUUCAAUAUAAGUGUACACUAGUCCCUAAGGUGGUCUCAAUUCAUAAAUUAGUUCUUCAUAACACUAAUGAUAUUCAUAUAUGUGCCAAUAUAUGCUAAAUAGGAUUCGCGUGUGUACUCAAGUCACCACUUGAUACUUAGCAACUGAUCCAAAAUUUUCAUCAGAACCACUCACUACAGGUGAGUUCAUAUCCCUUAAUCAAUGUUUUAACUAUUUUUAAAUGUUUUAUGGGGGGGGGACACAAGUAGAAUAAUGCUAGUCAUUAUAUUAAUCACAUGUGAUUAAUAAGCAACAUUCAAAUGGUUGGCUACUCAUUAGCCGUUUUACCAAACAGUUUACUUCAAAUGUUUUUCAUAAACACUUUAUGUGUUUAAAACUCCUUAUUACACUGUACAUUUUACUCCAUAUGUUUUAUUUCAAACUUAUUUACAAUUGUGAUUCAAACAAAUGUUUCCUUAUACUAAAGUUGUUUUAUCAAACCCAUGCCUUCAAAACGUUUUAUAAAUGGACAUCAAGUCGAUCUUUUCUUAGAUAAUAAUUAUGUUCAAAGGUUUUACAAAACUGAUUUUAUGCUUUUAUAUUAUAAAUUGCAUGCCUCUAUAUGUAUAGUUAUAUAAGUAAUAUUUAAAAGACUUAGGAAGGCUAUCCACCUUGUUUCCUUUUCCUCGAUUUGGAUGUGGUCUGAUAGGAUAUCGGGUACUUGUCCGAAGGUCGUUUAAAUAUUAGUUAUAUAUCAUGUGUACAUAUAUAGUCAUAAAAGGUCCUUCUAGUUCAUCCAAUUCCCUUGGGUAGCAAGGAUAUACAUCCAUGUUCAUAAUUCCUAGUUAGAUUACUAGUAAACUACCAUAUGGGUAGUUUAGAAAGAUACUAAAACUAUUACUAGAACACGAUACCAUACAAUGAGUCAGUUCAUUCAUGAGUCAAUACUUGCUAGAACAUUACAGCACAUUACUAUGCUUGGUAGAUAGAGAGCACGUACACUAGAGCUAGAACAUUACAGUACAUUACUAUAUUUGCUAGAUAGAGAGCACGUACACUACAGUUAGAACAUUACAGUACAUUACUAUACUUGCUAGAUAGAGAGCACGUACACUACAGCUAGAACAUUACAGUACAUUACUAUACUUGCUAGAUAGAGAGGACAUACACUACAACUAGAACAUUACAGUACAUUACCAUACUAUUACAUAGAUAUGGUCACAUGAUCACAUUUACAUGAGUACACUUACAAGAAUUAUUAGUACAUUUUAUAUGUAUAGAUUCUGUUAUAUAAUCUUCAUUCUUAUCUUUACCUUGUGAUUCAAUCACAUAAUCGAUGAGAUAGAUUGGAUUUAAUAUCCUAGUACCCAAGGAUACGUUGCGGGACUGACCAUUCCUAGAAUCUCUGUUAGCUACAGAGGUAAAAGCACAUCCACGGAUGUCAACGGUUGAUCCCAUUACAGGUAUACUUUUGGGGACUGACUAUUCCUAUACCCAGCUGUUAGCAACAAAGGUAAAUGUACAUCUACGGAUGACUUUAGUUAACAUUGUUAGUUGCCCUUGUUCCAAAGGGUAAUACUAAUACAGCUUGGUCUUGGUAGAAGACUACAUCUAGAACAGUUAGGUCUUGGUAGAAGACUACAUUCAGAACAGUUAGGUCUCGGUAGAAGACUACAUUCAAAGCAGUUAGGUCUUGGUAGAAGGCUACAUUGAGAACAGUUAAGUCUUGGUAGAAGACUCCUUUUGAUACUAAAAGGAAUCAUAGGGAUUUCUAGGGCUUUUCAAACGUUUACAGUUGUUUUACAAACAUUUUCAUACAUACAGUUCAUUUACAUCUUCAAUACUUACAAUUCGUAUACAUACAAAUACUUACAAUUCAAAUACAUACAAGUAUUUACAUACAAAUUAAGACACUAAAAUACUUAUGAUCUCACUAGCUUGAAAGCUGAUACUCGUUACUUGUAUCCUCAGGUCAUCAUAGACAGGUACCGAUGCAAGGAUUAAGGAAGAUGGAGCUCGAUCAAGACUCAGCUUUCAUUUUGAUUUAUACAUUAGUGUCUAUUAGACAUAUCAGAACACACUUGUAUUAAAAUUAUAUUAUUAAUGAAAUGGAUGAUGUUGUUGCCUGUUUACUACUUUUCAUUGUUGUGAUACUGUACAUGACGUCCUCCGCUCUAGAACGUUUCCGCCGUUCAAUGGUUUUGGGGUGCGACAGUCGUCGUUUCAUGUUUUCUACUUUUCAGUUAUUUGUAUUCAACUUUUGAACAAAGAGAGUUUGUAAACAAUGUAAUACUUGAAUCUCAAUGUAUGAAUAUUUGUGUUGCUAUGUUUCAUUUAUAUUCAAUUUUUAUGAUACUUUACAUUAAGCCACUCCAUCCGCCCCUAGACAUUUCUGCCAUUCUAGUUUAGAGGUGUGGCAUUGGUCAUAGAAAAUCAUGAAAUGCUGACGUCAUGGUAGUAUCCUUUUGAUGAUCUAUCAUGUAGUUGCACGUCUGAACUAGAAUGGGAGCUUAGAUAUGUCAUGAGGUUAUGUUUCUUUAUUUGAUAUGCUCGUGGGAGAGGUGGGUUAGUAAUAAUUUGUUAGGAAGAAGAGUGUGCAUCAGAAGCCCUUUUAUGUAUGAUUUUUCUGGAUUGGGGAUUUUUUGAGUUGUUAUGAUCCGGAUGUUUUGAGUGCUCGCUUCACCGUGGGAUGGCACUAUUCCUAGUUUAGGGACAGGGAGAUGAGUAAAUUAGGAAGGUGAUCGUCAGUCUUGGAUGGUGGUUGUGGUAAACUAAUUCCCAGUUUUGAGUGGUUUUGUAAGGAUAUUGAGUAAAAUGUCGGUGGUGAUAAUGGGGUUGUUGCGAGUUGUCUAAGUUCAAAUGGUUGGGUUUGAAAUGAUGAUUUUACAUAUCUUUAUGCCCAAGAGUAAUUAUGGAAUUAUAUAUCUAGAUAGUAUAUGAUCCCUAAGGGUCACAUAAUGAACAACAUGAUACAAAUAUGUCACUUAUAAGUAUUUGAUUCUUGUUAAAUAUUUAUACUCUUGUAAUAAAUUGGAAAUUAUUUGUAUUUAGGAGAAUAGUAAACUUCAAAAACAAGUAUCAAAAAAAAAAUCAUAAGGAAAGAUUUGUAUGGUUAUGUACAUUAUAUAUAUAUAUAUAUAUAUAUANNNNNNNNNNNNNNNNNNNNNNNNNNNNNNUAUAGUUUUGGUAUAUAAAUGAAAUAUGCAUGACUAGUAAUUAUAAGAAUAAAAUGAAAGGUUCUAUUUCUCUUCCCUUUUGACCAGAAUUACGUGAGCAAGCACGUUAGACAUGCUUGUGCCAUUCUUGAUUAUUUUAUUAAGCUUAGCCAUGAUUUAGAAGUAUAUAUUGUUGGAAUGAUAAAACAUGGGUCAUUAUUAAAGGGGAUAUACAGGAAAAGGCUUUGAUGUCUUCUAUAUGAUUCCUUCUUUUAAGUUAUCAUGAAUUGCUUUCAAUGAAAAGAAAUUCUUCCAUUUUUCUCUCUUCUUCUUAAAGCUUAAGACAUGAGAAUAAUGAUUUGAUGCUUGCAUUUUUCUCUCUUUUAAGUUAAAUGUGAUAUGUGUCUUUAAAAAUUGAGUGAUUAUUACUAUUACAAGAAUAGAGACAAGCAUCUUUUCAAGUUAAAGAAUUGUUGGUGUUUCUAACUAAGGUAGGUUUCUACUCUACAUUCUUCAUCAACUUCCAACCUCCCAUGAAGAAUUAAAGUCUUCAAAGUUUGUAUUCUUUUUUCCUAUGGUUGUAUUAAUCUUUCUAAGUUUUGAAAAAAAAAUAUACUUGGUGGGUAAUAUGGUUUUAGUUUAUUCCAAUCUAAAAAUGCUUUCGUUACUAAUUAUGCCGAAUUUGUCACUAUAAUUGGACUUUUUUGAAUAAAAGCAAACAGUUGUUUAGGUUCCAAGUGGCCACAAGAACCCGUUUAUUUGUAGUGGCGAAAUAUGAGGGAUUAUAAAGAUUAUUAAGGAUAGUAAAAGGUUUGUCUUAUGCAAUUUAGCCAAUACAGAUUUUGAGAACGAAUCUAGUCCAUGUGGCUUCAGUUAACUUCUAGGGAGUUGACCCUAUUUAUUGUAGUUAACUUCUAGGUUUUUCUCUCAUUUGCAGACUCCACCUCCAUUAAAGAAAACCUAGCCCUUAUUUUGUCCAAUUUUGAGACAUUGAGCUGAGUAUGAGUUUUCGUUAUACAAAGGGACAUAGUUGUGACAUUCUAUAUGAGGCGCUUCUGUCGGUAUUGUCCUUUAGACACUACUGUCAAGGUUAUAAUGUUCUCUAUUAGGUGCAGCUACUGAUAUUAUCCUUAGAGUGUAGCUUCUAGGAUGUUUAUUGUAGAUCAACAACAUCUACAGGUUGUGGCGUAGCUGCGAGUGCUCAUCUAUAGGGUACUAGGUCCAUUGCUGCCGAUGUUCACCUAUAGGGCACUAGGUCCAUACCACUAACAUUCCUCUAUUUCAACUUUCACCCCUCUUCCUUCAUCUACCCAUUUUUUACCCAACAUAUUUUGUAGAUAUAAAAGUACGUAUACAGUUUAAAACAUUUAAAACGUGUAUAAAAGUCUCUCACCCAACAUAGACAGCAAGUAUUCAGACAAUAUGCACACAUAUCACGUAAUUGUUGGGUUUUGAGCAUUCUAACACUCCUAAGUGUACAUGCAACCCUAAAUACCUUGGAUCUAUGUUUUCUCUAUUAUACAUGCAAAUAUGAACAUCCAAGGUAUUAUCCUAAUCUAAGCUAUAAAACAAUGAAUAUAACAAGAUAGAAUGCAUACCUCUUUGAUGUAGAAUGUCUUCAUGAAGUUUGAGUGCCUAGUGCGCCAAGUGUGACACCUAAAAUGGUUCACACAAUAUCAUAUGCUUUUGGAAUAACUUUGAGAGAAAUGUAGAACACUUGAAAUCGGCUAGCCCUUCUCUAUAUUACCUAGUGCCGAUUUUGGUCAAGAAUAAGAUGCAUAUAUAGUUAGGGUUACACCAUGUAAACCCUAAUUGACAUGGCCUUUCAUUUCUAUGAUCCAUGGGUAUAAAAAACACCAUGGAGCAUCCAUGUAGCAUCAUAUGGGUUUUAGCCCAACUAGAUAAUCCAUGGAGCAUUAGCCCACUAUAUAAUUAUGGAUGAUUUAUACAAUCAACCCAUAUAUUUAAUUAGUCUUCUUUUGGUCACUUAAUUAAUCCUAGAUUAAUUCUUGAUCAAUACUAAUUAAAUAAUCUUAUUAAUAUAUUAGAACUUAUAAUAUAUUAACCAACCUUAAGUGUUAUUUCUCUCAUUAUAGUCUAUCCAAAUGCAUGAUGCCAUGCAACCCAAAUGGACUAUGUUGGGUCGGGUCAAAUCUUACCAAUUAUAGUUAUGGACUUAGCCAUUAAUCAUACAGUCUCCCACUUGGAUAAGUCUAAACUAUUAUUGCGUAUGACUUCAAGAACCGACUAGAAAUCAUAGCUCUCAAAAGCUUAUGUCGAACUCUGACCUUGUAGAUGAACUUUGACCUUUGUCAAUGACUUGUCCAUUAGAUAAGGGAUCAUAUAUUCCUCCAUUCUAGAUAUCAUAUGGAAUGAUACAUGGAUUAUAAUCAUUCUAUCUGCCCAUUUGUUGUUUCCCGAUUUCCGAUUUAUGACGACUGACUAAUUGAACAAAUCAAAUCAGUCCUGGCCCGGCCGAGCACUUCCAUUUGUCAUCAUCAAAUCAUCGAGGGGCCCACAGAUAUCGCUUUUAUCCCGAAGGUAAAAGGAAUGGAUAAACUUCGACUCAUAUGGCUUGUUCUACUACUUGUUGAAUCAUACACAAAGGCACGUUUUAUAGCACCGAGUUACCAAAUGCGUUUUCGUGCAAUCAAUGUACAACCAACUCAUAGUAACAACUCAUAUCUCUAGGUUUGAAGAAUAUAAGAUAUUAUCGUCUCAUGAUCACUCGUGAUAAAAUCCAUGAAGUGAUUCCAAUGAGCGCGGGUUGAAUCCAAUACUCAGAACUUAUGAGCACUCAUUAGUGUUGUAGCCCUUUGUCCAACACCUUAGACCUCUACAAGCCAACCCAUGACAGUCUUGAUUCAUAUCUACUUCCAACAUAUGACCGACUGUGGAUGAUUUGAAUAACUUAGUCAAUCGGAACAAUGACCUAAUUAUUAUGGAAGUCAAAACAUGCAAAUUGAAACACAAUAAUAAUCGAAUCCAAUAUGGUAUCAAAACCUAUGAACAUAAAUAAAACACCUUUUAUUUAUCACCAUAUGAUUACACAUUAUUCAUUGUAUACUGUUUCAGCUAUCAACUUUAUUCUUGAAUUUAAAACAAUAGUUGUCCCAUGCUCCAAGCAUGUACACUAUGUUUUCUAAAAACUAGUCAUGCCAUACACCAAGUAUGCAUACUAUGUUUGUCUAUGAUCUUUACUUUGUGAACUAGAUCAAUUGAACAUAACUUCAAUGAUUCUCUUUUCACACUCCCAAAUCCUUACUGCAAAUGCAAGAAUUCCAAAUUCAUGCCAUUUACUGAAAUCUGUUAGAUUCUAAACUUAUAUGCAUUGAUCCUCUUGUAAUGAUUAUGCACAAAGUCAGAAAGACUUGACAACAAUCAUUACAGAGUAUUCCAAAGGAGAUCAGCUCCUUGGAAACAUCCUUCUUGCAUUAAGUUUCCUAAUCUUAAACAGAUUGAAAAUUCUAACUUUGAAACAUUUCCAGAUUCCAUUUUGACUAUCACUUCUGAACAAGAGUUGCCUCCUUACAGAUUAUGUCAAUAUGGUCCUUCCAGAAUUAUCACUAUACUUCCAACUGUCCUUGAGCAACCAAUCUUUGGUAAACCUUAGAUUGUCCUCGACAAUUGUUUAAUCCUUUUAGUCAUAUCCAGUUCUAAACCUUUUCCCUUCUUAAUGCCCCAGGCAUUUGGAAAAUUUUAGAAAGGAUGAAUAUAGCACAUGUACUCGAUCCUAUAUCUGAAGCAUAUGGGACGCGAUUCAUGAUGUCUCACAUAAAGACUAAACCAGUCUUUUGCUAUAAUAUUUCCAUUUCAAUUUGCCAAGUUCUCAUAAUUCAGAUUAUGAAAAGGGAUGCCGUAAUCAUAAUCGAAUUUUAGAACGCAAAUAAUGGACCCAUAUACAGAAUUUCCUUAUGUUGAGCCAUUCCAACAUGAAAUUCAUAUAUAUCCUUGACUAAAUGAUUAAAACCUCACGAUCUAAGCUUAUAGAUUUGAGAUGAAGUAUAAUUUCCUCUCCCUUAAUUAUAGCAAAACAACUUUUUCCCAAUUGAAACUUUUGUUUUCUAUAAUUAACAUUGCUAACUUGCAAUACUUAUCAUAAUUAUCAUGCUCCCACUAACAUGAUGAUUAUUAGCAUAAAACUUAUGCUCCCACAAGCUUUGACAUUUACUUAGAAAUCAGCUGACUUUCUUACCAAAGUUCAAAUUUCUGAUACUAGAUUGUUUUGAUAAAACUUUAUCAAAAUCAUACACCUUCCCUUAGAUAGCACACUUGUGUGUCUAAACAAUUAUAAAGAGGGAUGCCGUAAUCAUAAUGAUUAGACCUUUUGCCACUUCUCAGAAGUCCAGGUUAGUGUGCCGGUAAACCACACACACUCAACUAAUGACUUUGAGAAUGCAAAUAUUACAAUUGCUAUCUAGCUAAAAUCUACUUAGUGAAAGUGUUUCCUCACCAUCAUUUUCAUGAAUCGGAGAGAAACCUUAUGACACUUAGAUUUAUAUGGUGUAUGAGUUCCUACCCAUAUGAAUUUGUCAAACCAUAAUCACAAGACAAAGAUAAUGACAAAUCCAAAACCAUAUGGAUUGAACUCAAUCUUAAUUUCUUGCCACCUGCCAGCUCAAGGGCCUACCAUUGCUUCCAAGUUGUUGUGCAACAAAUUGAUAACUCUAAGAACUCAUAUGCAAAGCCAACUUUAACUCGAAUGGGCAUGGAAUAUGUCAACACGAUAGGUUAUAAACGUCAAGUCGUGUGCCAGUGAAGAACUUCAGUUUUUGUUCUUGAUUAGUUCUUGAGACUUUCGAUUACCUUUAAGACUCCCACUGUCCUCUUGACAUAUAAGACUUUCUUGUCAGAUAUUCAAGAGAUAGUGUGGAUUCUAAUCAAGACAAACACUUCACACAAUUGGCCUAAGUUGGUCUUUGUUUUAUCCAAAACAUCACAACUUACCAAUUUCAAAUGUACAAGAGUAGAAAACUUUUACUCUUACAUUUGACAAGUGUUUUAAACCUUCUUUAAGACAUGUCACUCAAGUUACAAUCUUGGAGUAUGACUCUAAGACUUGUAUUGGAACGAAGUAUGACUCAUCUUCUUGAUUUAACCAUUUCAACAAUUCAAGAUUCCUCUUCUUAGUCAUAAGAAUGCACUAAGAUUUCCUUAGAGAACUAAUUGUGCUAUGGUUUCUUAAUCAUUAAGAUGAUCACAAAACUGAUACUAAAGUACUCUCCCAUCUUUUCAGAUUUGAGAAACUUUUAUCUUUCUGCCUAAUUUGAUUCUUCUUAUUCGCUCUGCCAUACAUUGGAACCUUUUCCAAUGUCUCAGAAUUACACUUAAGCUUGUAAGUAUAACCAUAUUUACUGAGCUUUAGUAAAUUAUGACGAAUAAUCUUAUCGAUCUUUUGUGGUGGACUUGACCAGUGCACAAGAAUGUGUACUCGAUCCCUUAGUCCUUCACUUGACUCACACAUCCAUGUGAACAAGUAAUUAGUCUUCAUUUUCCAAUACUUGAAAGUUCUCAUUCAUCAUGCUAUACAACUUUCAUGAUUCCAAGUUUCUGUCCAACUGAAACUUGGGUGAUGAGAAUCUUUCCUUAUUUGCUAAAUUUAGACACUACCACAAAUGAAAGAAUUAAAUUCAUAUUUCCACUCUUGCUCUUAAUGGAAUCUUAUAAGCAACAAAAAUUUCCACAGAUGUCAUUGUAAGGAUAUUUUAAAAUAAAUAAAAUCAAAAUUUUCCUUUUAUUUUAAAAAAAAAUUGCAGAAAAACUUGUCCUUACAAUCCAUAUGAAAACUUGUUGUUAUUUAUUCCUAAGCAAUAUCUCAUAACUCCUAAGAAGUAGCUCAAGAAUCUGAUCUUCAAACUAUGCAAUAGAAAUCCAUCUACGCGAUCAGAUUCAACAUAUUCUUUCUGUAAGUUUCUUUACUCUUCUUUGAUUCUUAAAAAAUCAACAUGUGACCCUGCCACAUGAUAUAUCAAGAAUCUCAUAAUAGAAACUUAGCAGAGUUAGAUAGUGGACUUUUCUUGAAGUAGAGUAAAACUUAUUGACUUUAACAUCCUUAGGUAAAUUUGGCAGCUUCGCAACUGAUGCCCCUUCCUUUGGCAAUAUAACAUAUGGACGCUUUGGUAAUGGUACACGGGACUAUCACAGACUUAGCUUUUCUCUUUACUAUUUGGUCAAUCGAGUUGACUAUGGCUGAUCCCUUUCCAUUGGGAAGAGAAUGCUUUUUCUGGAUUUCCAGUGUUACAAUUGUCAAUGUCCAUAAAGUUUUAGGAAGUUGAUCUUAGCAAAUAGAUAAGAUCAUUAAGGGUCUUUUCAUAGUCUGUUACAUAGGUUUCCCAAAUGAACUCACUAUGUGACUUAGAAAGUGAUUGAGCCACCAACUUUCUCAAGACUUUAACAGCCAACUCUCCCGGCUUGUCAAUAUGUGACUAUAUCUCCAAGAUGAGACCACACCUAGACCUUGCCUUGCCAAUAGGGAUUGAGUGACCUUAAACUUUUCAAGAACUUGUGGGUUGGGGAGAAUAAUUGGAGGAGGUGAAAGAAGUAUGAUUUCCAAGGGACAUCAUCUUCAUUUAGGAAAGCUUGUUUCAAGAGAUUUGGGAAGAUCAUAAAUGUCUAAACCAGACAUCUUUUGGGAGAUAUUCAAGAUAGUUGAUCUUAAGUCCUUAAUAUGACACCCAAUAUGAAAUAUUAAGGCUAGGACCUAACAAACUAUUUUAUAACUUUGAAGAGGGAUGCCUUAAUCCAAGCUAUAAAAUAUUUGAUGGUACGUGAAUGACGAUUCACCAAUUUCCACCAAGAUAAACGAAAUGUAUUAUUAGGUUUUAAUUGGUUUUGAAACUCCUAGAUCUUUGAGAUUCAUUGAACUUUUCAAAGGCAUGUUUCAAUCUCGAGUGUGCCCUUCAGGUUUUGUGACUGGGAUGCCGAGGAUCACAAAACAAGGUGUGAAGUAACC